GAUGAACGCUGGCGGCGUGCCUAAUACAUGCAAGUCGAGCGAACAGACGAGGAGCUUGCUCCUCUGACGUUAGCGGCUGACGGGUGAGUAACACGUGGAUAACCUACCUAUACGACUGGGAUAACUUCGGGAAACCGGAGCUAAUACCGGAUAAUAUAUUGAACCGCAUGGUUCAAUAGUGAAAGACGGUUUUGCUGUCACUUAUAGAUGGAUCCGCGCCGCAUUAGCUAGUUGGUAAGGUAACGGCUUACCAAGGCGACGAUGCGUAGCCGACCUGAGAGGGUGAUAGGCCACACUGGAACUGAGACACGGUCCAGACUCCUACGGGAGGCAGCAGAAGGGAAUCUUCCGCAAUGGGCGAAAGCCUGACGGAGCAACGCCGCGUGAGUGAUGAAGGUCUUCGGAUCGUAAAACUCUGUUAUUAGGGAAGAACAAAUGUGUAAGUAACUAUGCACGUCUUGACGGUACCUAAGCAGAAAGCCACGGCUAACUACGUG
rnacentral:rRNA from 1 species